AGCCCAGCUCCUGGACCCCUUUCCCAUGUUUGGUGUGUUUUCUACCUAAUGAGUUUUGAAGGAAGUGAAGGCUGUUAUUUACCUCUGGAAGCUAAAAAUACCAGUUCCCUGUUCAUCUCAGAGUUGGUUUCCGAUGCGACUAAAAACAUCAACUGAUAUGAGGUCCAAAAGAUGGAAUUUUAAGCACCAAAGACUGCUCCCUUAUGGGCAAAGUCUCAAUAGGACAUCUGCAUGUUCAGUUGAGAUUCUGCUUUCCCCUCAGAUGAUAGAAUUAUUGGCAACCAGUUAAGUUGACGCAAUUGGAAACCAGAAACAUGAUCAACAAAGAUAUGGAGAUGGAGAUACCAGUCACCCCUAUCAAAGUGGCAAGUGGGAGGGGGAUGCUGGUUGGUCUGUGGGAGCUGACAAAGAAAUGGGACUGGAAUGUUUCUUUUACCAAUUGUGUAAACACAGCCUGGAGUUCCGUGAUGAGUCCAUCUCACUUGCUCAGAACUUUGCCUGGCGAAAGUGGUUACAAGUGAACAAGGUGGAAAUGAAAGAAACCCUGACUUUCCCCCAGGAAGGAGGAGACCGUUCCUUCUUGUGAUGUUCUCUGAAGAAAAAUUCUAGGAUUUGGACAGAUUUCUUGGGUUAUAAAACAUGAUUUUCUUCUCUGUUUGUUGGGCUUUUAUAAUAGGUACUGUUGUUUUCUUUCAAAGCUUUAAUGAUUCCAUAAGGACUUGUAUAAAGUUUAUGGGAGAAUUUUCAGUGUAGAUGUGAAUGGCAGAAACUCAAGAAUCUGUGUGAGGUUGAGUAAGAUCCUGUAUCUCCAGAGAGCUCUGGUGGGGAGACACAGAUCUAAAUUUUAAAGAUGGUUUGGGCCUUCUCAAUCAUAUAUUAACGUCCUUUUAUAUUAUACCUAAAUAAAUUAAAGCCCAGAAAGAUUAAUAAACCAAGGUCCCAAGACCUGCUUUAGACCUGUGCCCCAUUCCUGACUAAUAUUCUUUAUGAUAUUAUAUCACUCUGUAUCAAAACCAACCAACCAAUAAAACCAACCAACCAAC